UGUCCAGUGAUGGGAAUCGAACCCACAGUGUUCCGCUUACUGGGCAGAUGCCAUGUCCACUAAGCUACCCUGGAC
rnacentral:tRNA from 1 species